GGUGGGGCGGGGCGGCAGGGGCCUCUGCCAGUGCCAGGUCCCCAUUCUGUUUCUCUCCCAGCU
rnacentral:miRNA from 1 species